GCACGGGAGACAGAGCACCGGGUGCUAACGUCCGGACUCAAAAGGGAAACAACCCAGACCGCCGGCUAAGGUCCCCAAUAACAGCUAAGUGGAAAACGAAGUGGAAAGGCCGUGACAACCAGGAAGUUGGCUUAGAAGCAGCCAUCCUUCAAAGAAAGCGUAAUAGCUCACUGGUCGAGUCCUUCUGCGCGGAAGAUGUAACGGGGCUAAGCUGUUAACCGAAGCCGCGGAUGCACUGAUUAUUCAGUGCGUGGUAGGGGAGCGUUCUGUAAGUCUGCGAAGGCGGUUCGAGAGGACUGCUGGAGAUAUCAGAAGUGCGAAUGCUGACAUGAGUAACGUUAAAGCAGGUGAAAAGCCUGCUCGCCGUAAGCCCAAGGAUUCCUGCUCUACGUUCAUCGGAGCAGGGUGAGUCGGCUCCUAAGGUCAGGCCGAAAGGCGUAGCCGAUGGGAAUCAGGUUAAUAUUCCUGAACCUGCGUCAGAUGCGAUGGGGGGACGGAGCAUGAAAGAUCAUCCGGGUGUUGGAUGUCCCGGUUGACGAGCGUAGGAGGUCUGCAGGCAAAUCCGCAGACGCAUCUCCAAGGCGAAGUCACGUGCCGCCACGGCGGCGAAGUGAUCGGAAGUGCUUCCAAGAAAAGCCUCUAAGCACCAGUCUGACGCGGACCGUACCGCAAACCGACACUGGUGGGCGAGCUGAAUAUGCUCAGGCGCUUGAGAGAACUCGGGAGAAGGAACUCGGCAAAUUGACACCGUAACUUCGGAAGAAGGUGUGCCGUAGUACCGUGAGAGGAGAGACACCUUGAGCGGGAAUCGGUCUCAGAGAAUAGGUGGCUGCGACUGUUUAUUAAAAACACAGCACUCUGCAAAGUCGAAAGACGACGUAUAGGGUGUGAUGCCUGCCCGGUGCUGGAAGAUUAAUUGAUGGGGUGAGAGCCCUUGAUCGAAGUCCCAGUAAACGGCGGCCGUAACUAUAACGGUCCUAAGGUAGCGAAAUUCCUUGUCGGGUAAGUUCCGACCUGCACGAAUGGCAUAACGAUGGCCACACUGUCUCCUCCCGAGACUCAGUGAAGUUGAAAUGUUUGUGAUGAUGCAAUCUACCCGCGGCUAGACGGAAAGACCCCAUGAACCUUUACUGCAGCUUUGCAUUGAACUGUGAACCGAUUUGUGUAGGAUAGGUGGGAGGCAGAGAAGAGGCCACGCCAGUGGUCUUGGAGCCGACCUUGAAAUACCACCCUGAUUUGUUUGCGGUUCUAACCACGGACAGUGAUCCUGUCUUGGGACCGUGCAUGGUAGGCAGUUUGACUGGGGCGGUCUCCUCCUAAAGGGUAACGGAGGAGUACGAAGGUACGCUAGGUACGGUCGGAAAUCGUGCUGAUAGUGCAAUGGCAAAAGCGUGCUUGACUGCGAGAGCAACAACUCGAGCAGAUGCGAAAGCAGGUCAUAGUGAUCCGGUGGCUCUGAAUGGAAGGGCCAUCGCUCAACGGAUAAAAGGUACUCUGGGG
rnacentral:rRNA from 1 species